CAAACCUCAAGCCUAGCUUGGUGAUGGGCCCCGCCCGUGUGGCGGGCCUGAAACUCGUGGGCGCCCCAGGCCGGACUCCAAGCGUAGCAAAACCCUCGCUUGCGGACGACCGGUCGGAGGCCGCCCCGGACCCCCAAUUUUAUCAAU
rnacentral:misc_RNA from 1 species